AACGCACAUUGCGCCCCCUGGUAUUCCGGGGGGCACGCCCGUCCGAGUGUCAUUUCCACCCCAAGCUUAGGGCUUGUUGUUGGGCACCGCCCGCAAGGGCGCGCCUUAAAUCUGUUGGCGCCUUCGAGGGCCCCCGAACGCACAGAGCCUAACCGCCCGCGUUCGGGAGCCCGGUUGGAGGCAGCCCGUUUGCCUACGCGCAACUUUGUACCGUAUGGCCUCGGAUCGGGCGGGGUUACCCGCUGAACUUAA
rnacentral:misc_RNA from 1 species